GCCAGGCAUGGUGGCUCAUGCCUGCAAUCCUAACAGUUUGGGAGGCUGAGGUAGGAGGAUCACAAGUUCAAAGCCAGCCUCAACUCAGUGAGACCCUGUCUCUA
rnacentral:sRNA from 1 species